rnacentral:rRNA from 1 species
GACGAACGCUGGCGGCGUGCCUAAUACAUGCAAGUCGAACGCAGUUGCGAACGGGUGAGUAGCGCGGAGGUAACUGCCUGGUAGCGGGGGAUAACUAUUGGAAACGAUAGCUGAUACCGCAUCCUACUAGAUUGACCUGCGUUGUAUUAGCUAGUUGGUGGGGUAACGGCUCACCAAGGCAACGAUACAUAGCCGACGUGGGAGGGUGAUCGGCCACACUGGGACUGAGACACGGCCCAGACUCCUACGGGAGGCAGCAGUAGGGAAUCUUCGGCAAUGGACGGAAGUCUUACCGAGCAACGCCGCGGGAGUGAAGAAGGUUUUCGGAUCGUAAAGCUCUGUUGUAAGAGAAGCGGUAUCUUACCAGAAAGGGACGGCUAACUACGUGCCAGCAGCCGCGGUAAUAC